rnacentral:rRNA from 1 species
UACAGAGGUCUCAAGCGUUGUUCGGAUUCAUUGGGCGUAAAGGGUGUGUAGGCGGCGGGGUAAGUCUGGUGUGAAAUCUCGGAGCUCAACUCCGAAAUUGCACUGGAUACUGCUCUGCUAGAGGGCUGGAGAGGAGAUCGGAAUUCACGGUGUAGCAGUGAAAUGCGUAGAUAUCGUGAGGAAGACCAGUGGCGAAGGCGGAUCUCUGGACAGCUCCUGACGCUGAGGCGCGAAGGCUAGGGGAGCAAACGGG